GGGGGUCAGUGGUAGAGCAUCUGUUUGGCAUGCAGAAGGCCCCAGGUUCAAUCCCCGCCAUCUCCA
rnacentral:tRNA from 1 species